GUUGCUACAUAAGGAUGUGAUACCAGUGCUGGUCUUUCUUGUGAAAACAUCCAUGUGGGCUCCUGGGUUCAUUUUCUCUGUGCCCAGCAGGUUGUUUUGGAUGAAUGCUCUCCUUGGAAACCUGCCUACCUUUAUUGGCUGUAUGAGUGUGCAUGGUUAACUUGGAGAAAUAGCUAAAGCUAGUGCUGAAGGUGGCAAAAACUUCUUCACCCACAGAAGGAGGAGGCAGAAAGGAGGCAGAGUGACACAUCUGCUGCUCCACCAUGCUUCACCCAGACAGCAGAAUAACUGGACAAAGCCAGUGACUGUAGCCUUGGGAGAUGGAUGCCUGGGAAGGCUGGAGGAGGAGCGGUGCUGCUGGGGAGAAUGCCUGUGUGCUCCUUGGUCCUGGGUUGGCCAACUCCAUGUCAGACAAUGACAGUCCUCUGCCAUUUCAGCCACUGUUGGACACAGCUUAAGGAGUCCAGGGAAGGCUCAGGCUCUCCGGAGCACCCAGGAGCAACAUGUGGGAUCAGACUCUCUGAUACUACUGCAGCUCAUUGUCCCCAGGAGGGCAAUGUUUCCUUCUGCUUCAUACAGGAAAGGAGUCCUCUCUUAGGACUCAGGACUACAUUUGCAUGUGCUUUUUGGAAAGCACGUUUCAUACACAGGUCUGAGCCAUAUGUUAAAAUGAAACAGAUCGAAUUUGAAGUUAGCAUGCUGGUCUGAACUGCAGGAAAUGCAGCCCUGAGUUCUCUUUUCCUUUCUUUUUAUGCUUAUUUUCUUUUUCUUCCUUUAAAGCUCUUCUUUUUAUUUUCUUUUUCUUCCCUUAGAAUCCAUAUAGACGCUUUCAGAGUGAUUUUGUAUCCUCCCUGUAACAUCAAUAAAUUAUAUUGUCUGGGGAGAUAGUCA
rnacentral:lncRNA from 1 species